rnacentral:rRNA from 1 species
UACGUAGGGUGCGAGCGUUAAUCGGAAUUACUGGGCGUAAAGAGUGCGUAGGCGGUGUGGCAAGUCGGGAGUGAAAUUUCUGGGCUUAACCCAGAGGCUGCUUCCGAAACUGCUGUGCUCGAGUGUGGGAGAGGCGCGUGGAAUUGCAGGUGUAGCGGUGAAAUGCGUAGAUAUCUGCAGGAACACCCGUGGCGAAAGCGGCGCGCUGGACCACUACUGACGCUGAGGAACGAAAGCUAGGGGAGCAAACAGG